rnacentral:misc_RNA from 1 species
GUGACUUAUACUUACAUUUCCUUUUCAAUAUCAUUCAAAUGAUAAUUAUGAUAGAGCUCUACUUCUAAAUUCUCGCAAAUGGAGUCUGAAACGGCAUCGUCUGCCGAUGAACAGGUCGUUGGUGCUGCUCCUCCACUGGGAGCUGAUACCAGAGGUAAGCAUCGGAUUCUUGCAGAGCUUAAGCGCGUCGAGCAAGAAAUCAAGUUCUUGGAGGGAGAGCUGGGGGAGCUUGAGAAAACAGAUAAUGUAUCAACAGCGUGUGAAGA